rnacentral:rRNA from 1 species
AUUGAACGCUGGCGGCAGGCCUAACACAUGCAAGUCGAGCGGGGUUUUCGGACCUAGCGGCGGACGGGUGAGUAAUGCGUAGGAAGCUGCCCGAUAGAGGGGGAUACCAGUUGGAAACGACUGUUAAUACCGCAUAAUGUCUACGGACCAAAGUGUGGGACCUUCGGGCCACAUGCUAUCGGAUGCGCCUACGUGGGAUUAGCUAGUUGGUGAGGUAAUGGCUCACCAAGGCGACGAUCUCUAGCUGGUUUGAGAGGAUGAUCAGCCACACUGGAACUGAGACAGGGUCCAGACUCCUACGGGAGGCAGCAGUGGGGAAUAUUGGACAAUGGGCGCAAGCCUGAGCCAGCCAUGCCGCGUGUGUGAAGAAGGCCUUCGGGUUGUAAAGCACUUUCAGCGAGGAGGAAGGGUGGUGUGUUAAUAGCACAUCAUUUUGACGUUACUCGCAGAAGAAGCACCGGCUAACUCUGUGCCAGCCGCCGCGGUAACAC